rnacentral:rRNA from 1 species
CUACGGGACGCACCAGUGAGGAAUAUUGCACAAUGGGGGGAACCCUCAUGCAGCAACGCCGCGUGGAGGAUGACGCAUUUCGGUGUGUAAACUCCUUUUAUAUGUCAAGAAAAUGACGGUAGCAUAUGAAUAAGCGCCGGCUAACUCCGUGCCAGCAGCCGCGGUAAUACGGAGGGCGCAAGCGUUACUCGGAAUCACUGGGCGUAAAGGACGCGUAGGCGGGUUGAAAAGUCAGGUGUGAAAGCCUACAGCUUAACUGUAGAACUGCACUUGAAACUCCCAACCUAGAGUAUGGGAGGGGCAGAUGGAAUUAGUGGUGUAGGGGUAAAAUCCGUAGAUAUCACUAGGAAUACCUAAAGCGAAGGCGAUCUGCUGGAACAUUACUGACGCUAAGGCGUGAAAGCGUGGGGAGCAAACAGGAUUAGAUACCCUUGUAGUC